GAUUGCUUCUUGGGUUUGAAGAAAUAUUCUCACUGGCAUCUGAAACUAAGUGAUUCCCUCUUUUGAAAACUGUGCAAUUUGUAUUGCCUAUUUUUUUAUCAAGUUCAUCUCUGUUAAUAAGAUCUAUAAUUAUUAAGCAGGAAGGCAUAACGAGAUCAGCUGAUUAUAAUGUAAGUAGUGUAGACAAGUACUUCUAAUUCCCCAAAGGAUUAAUCUCUCUGAUCGUGGUGCUAGCAUGCUUUGGGCUUCUAGACUGCUGUUUUUAAACAUCCUUAUUUUAAAGGAAUUGUAUUUGUGGAUGAUUAAUUUAUUAGUUUGGAAUACUCAGCAGCUUUUUAUUAUAGCUGAUGUUUGCUUUCUUUUUGUUAAUAAUUUCUACUCCCAAGAAGAAGUAACAGAUAUCCUGUAUGGAAUGUCCAUGAAUUAGCUCUGCUUCUGUGACUGCAAUCUGUGGGCCUAAACCUGCAAAUAUUCAGUAAUGCACUUAGAUUUGUUUCAAUAUGAUGGUGUAUUUGGAUGAGAAAGGCAUUGCUAUGUCUCUUGAUCUGUAAAUAUUUCAUUUAUAUCUUUGUUUCUGUAUGUGUAAAAUGAUACAGAUCUUCAGUUUCUCUUAGGAUUCUCAGAAUGUGUCACAGAUGCUUUGAAUUGAGGUUGGGGAUAAACAGCAGCAUCCUCUAUUUUGGACGUUGUCCUCAGUCUGAACUGAGGGGAAGCUGCCAACCCGCUUCUGUCACCAUGCUUCUCAAGAUUUGUUUUGAUGAAAACAAGGGAGUCAAGUUCAUUGCAAUAUUUCAUUGCUUGUGGUGUUUCACUGGAUGUGCCAACUGAAAUACAGAAUCUCAAGCUGGGAAGGACCAAUAGGCUCACAGGGCAAUGACAGAACUGAGCCAAGCUGAGCUGAAAAUAAUUCCCUGGAUUUUUCAACCCUGUGAAGAAGAAGGAUUAGAAAUAUGAUGCCCUGCCGAAUUCAGUUACAAAGAGAUUAGAAGGAAGACAUCCUGCUGAACUCUCUUACAAAGAGGUUGUGACAGUAGCAACCGGGAAGAAGAGCUUUAAACAAAAUGCUAAAAUAAUGAAGCUCCUACCCUUCACUGUACAGUGUGAGGCAGAUACCUGACCUGGCUCUGAGCAAGCGCUACUGUGCUUCCACUGCAUAUAGCAAUACAGGAAUGUUCCUGGUGGGCAUUGACCCAAGCAGAGCCAGUAUUUACAUGGCUGUACUGCAUCUGCUUUCACCUCCAAAUUGGUUUUCUCCCUCCACCACAGCAUUAAAUUGCG
rnacentral:lncRNA from 1 species